GGGUUGUGAGGUUAAGCGACUAAGCGUACACGGUGGAUGCCCUGGCAGUCAGAGGCGAUGAAGGACGUGCUAAUCUGCGAUAAGCGUCGGUAAGGUGAUAUGAACCGUUAUAACCGGCGAUUUCCGAAUGGGGAAACCCAGUGUGAUUCGUCACACUAUCAUUAACUGAAUCCAUAGGUUAAUGAGGCGAACCGGGGGAACUGAAACAUCUAAGUACCCCGAGGAAAAGAAAUCAACCGAGAUUCCCCCAGUAGCGGCGAGCGAACGGGGAGCAGCCCAGAGCCUGAAUCAGUGUGUGUGUUAGUGGAAGCGUCUGGAAAGGCGCGCGAUACAGGGUGACAGCCCCGUACACAAAAAUGCACAUACUGUGAGCUCGAUGAGUAGGGCGGGACACGUGGUAUCCUGUCUGAAUAUGGGGGGACCAUCCUCCAAGGCUAAAUACUCCUGACUGACCGAUAGUGAACCAGUACCGUGAGGGAAAGGCGAAAAGAACCCCGGCGAGGGGAGUGAAAAAGAACCUGAAACCGUGUACGUACAAGCAGUGGGAGCACGCUUAGGCGUGUGACUGCGUACCUUUUGUAUAAUGGGUCAGCGACUUAUAUUCUGUAGCAAGGUUAACCGAAUAGGGGAGCCGAAGGGAAACCGAGUCUUAACUGGGCGUUAAGUUGCAGGGUAUAGACCCGAAACCCGGUGAUCUAGCCAUGGGCAGGUUGAAGGUUGGGUAACACUAACUGGAGGACCGAACCGACUAAUGUUGAAAAAUUAGCGGAUGACUUGUGGCUGGGGGUGAAAGGCCAAUCAAACCGGGAGAUAGCUGGUUCUCCCCGAAAGCUAUUUAGGUAGCGCCUCGUGAAUUCAUCUCCGGGGGUAGAGCACUGUUUCGGCAAGGGGGUCAUCCCGACUUACCAACCCGAUGCAAACUGCGAAUACCGGAGAAUGUUAUCACGGGAGACACACGGCGGGUGCUAACGUCCGUCGUGAAGAGGGAAACAACCCAGACCGCCAGCUAAGGUCCCAAAGUCAUGGUUAAGUGGGAAACGAUGUGGGAAGGCCCAGACAGCCAGGAUGUUGGCUUAGAAGCAGCCAUCAUUUAAAGAAAGCGUAAUAGCUCACUGGUCGAGUCGGCCUGCGCGGAAGAUGUAACGGGGCUAAACCAUGCACCGAAGCUGCGGCAGCGACGCUUAUGCGUUGUUGGGUAGGGGAGCGUUCUGUAAGCCUGCGAAGGUGUGCUGUGAGGCAUGCUGGAGGUAUCAGAAGUGCGAAUGCUGACAUAAGUAACGAUAAAGCGGGUGAAAAGCCCGCUCGCCGGAAGACCAAGGGUUCCUGUCCAACGUUAAUCGGGGCAGGGUGAGUCGACCCCUAAGGCGAGGCCGAAAGGCGUAGUCGAUGGGAAACAGGUUAAUAUUCCUGUACUUGGUGUUACUGCGAAGGGGGGACGGAGAAGGCUAUGUUGGCCGGGCGACGGUUGUCCCGGUUUAAGCGUGUAGGCUGGUUUUCCAGGCAAAUCCGGAAAAUCAAGGCUGAGGCGUGAUGACGAGGCACUACGGUGCUGAAGCAACAAAUGCCCUGCUUCCAGGAAAAGCCUCUAAGCAUCAGGUAACAUCAAAUCGUACCCCAAACCGACACAGGUGGUCAGGUAGAGAAUACCAAGGCGCUUGAGAGAACUCGGGUGAAGGAACUAGGCAAAAUGGUGCCGUAACUUCGGGAGAAGGCACGCUGAUAUGUAGGUGAAGUCCCUCGCGGAUGGAGCUGAAAUCAGUCGAAGAUACCAGCUGGCUGCAACUGUUUAUUAAAAACACAGCACUGUGCAAACACGAAAGUGGACGUAUACGGUGUGACGCCUGCCCGGUGCCGGAAGGUUAAUUGAUGGGGUCAGCGCAAGCGAAGCUCUUGAUCGAAGCCCCGGUAAACGGCGGCCGUAACUAUAACGGUCCUAAGGUAGCGAAAUUCCUUGUCGGGUAAGUUCCGACCUGCACGAAUGGCGUAAUGAUGGCCAGGCUGUCUCCACCCGAGACUCAGUGAAAUUGAACUCGCUGUGAAGAUGCAGUGUACCCGCGGCAAGACGGAAAGACCCCGUGAACCUUUACUAUAGCUUGACACUGAACAUUGAGCCUUGAUGUGUAGGAUAGGUGGGAGGCUUUGAAGUGUGGACGCCAGUCUGCAUGGAGCCGACCUUGAAAUACCACCCUUUAAUGUUUGAUGUUCUAACGUUGACCCGUAAUCCGGGUUGCGGACAGUGUCUGGUGGGUAGUUUGACUGGGGCGGUCUCCUCCUAAAGAGUAACGGAGGAGCACGAAGGUUGGCUAAUCCUGGUCGGACAUCAGGAGGUUAGUGCAAUGGCAUAAGCCAGCUUGACUGCGAGCGUGACGGCGCGAGCAGGUGCGAAAGCAGGUCAUAGUGAUCCGGUGGUUCUGAAUGGAAGGGCCAUCGCUCAACGGAUAAAAGGUACUCCGGGGAUAACAGGCUGAUACCGCCCAAGAGUUCAUAUCGACGGCGGUGUUUGGCACCUCGAUGUCGGCUCAUCACAUCCUGGGGCUGAAGUAGGUCCCAAGGGUAUGGCUGUUCGCCAUUUAAAGUGGUACGCGAGCUGGGUUUAGAACGUCGUGAGACAGUUCGGUCCCUAUCUGCCGUGGGCGCUGGAGAAUUGAGGGGGGCUGCUCCUAGUACGAGAGGACCGGAGUGGACGCAUCACUGGUGUUCGGGUUGUCAUGCCAAUGGCACUGCCCGGUAGCUAAAUGCGGAAGAGAUAAGUGCUGAAAGCAUCUAAGCACGAAACUUGCCCCGAGAUGAGUUCUCCCUGACCCUUUAAGGGUCCUGAAGGAACGUUGAAGACGACGACGUUGAUAGGCCGGGUGUGUAAGCGCAGCGAUGCGUUGAGCUAACCGGUACUAAUGAACCGUGAGGCUUAACCUUACAACGCCGAAG
rnacentral:rRNA from 1 species